rnacentral:rRNA from 1 species
AGGGUGUAAACGCUGCAGACUUGGUGUUGGAAGUCCUUUGGGGGCAUUCAGUGCCGGAGAGAAGUUGUUAAGUCUGCUACUUGGGGAGUACGUCCGCAAGGAUGAAACUUAAAGGAAUUGGCGGGGGAGCACCGCAACGGGAGGAGCGUGCGGUUUAAUUGGAUUCAACACCGUAAAACUCACCAGGGAAGACUGUCACAUGAAAGCCGAGAUGAAGACUCUGCUAGAUUUUCAGAGAGGAGGUGCAUGGCGUCAGUGACU